UUGAUCACAUCCCUCCUGAUAUAUCUAUAUCUACAUCCUGUCACAGCAUCUCUCUUAGACUCUCACUCCAUUUUGUUUUUUCAUAUAUCUCUCUCAAAUCCAAUUUAUUUUUUCAUCUCUCUCUCAAAUCCAUUUUGUUUUUUCAUAUCUCUCUCGAAUCUUUGCUUAAGGUUGAUAUUAGCACACAAUCGACUCUGAUUUGUGAUUGUUCUGGUUACGCGUCUGCAGGGGAACUUGGAAGGGAAGGUCAAUUUCUUUUCCUUUUUCGGAUCCGCUCGCUCUGUAUUGUACUUGUAUUUCAGAAUCCUAAUUCAAUAGUCAUCAUGCUUUUCUAAAUGAAACAGAGUUUAUCAAAUUCAAGCCACAUCCACGUUUUGAUAUAUUAUCAAAUUCAACCCAAAUUUUCUUUAAUUUGCACUAUUUUUCAACUGAUUAAAGUACAAAAAUGUCAUUUUUCACUUUGUUUCAUUUUUUGACAUUUUCACUUUGUUUCGUCAUUUUUACUUUGUUUCAUUUUUAUUUACUACAAUGACUUUCUUUCUCUCUAAGAUUGGGUCUGUGCGAAUGUAUGAGAGAAUGUCGCUGAAAGAGCAAAAGCAAGAAUCAAUAUCUACAAAUGCAACAUGGAGUAGAAAAGGUGUAAGGGAAAUGGGAUGCGAAGCCAUGAUGAUGUGAAAAAACACUCGAAGGAUGUACACCACAUUGUUUCUGGUAGAACCUGCAGGGCAUGUGGAAACUACAUCGAGGAGCUUUCUUGCAGAAGUUUUCACCCUUGUCUGAUGAGUCUAGGAAAGUUUCCUCUAGCCCUUCUUUAGGGACAAAAGGUGAUUCGCUCACCCCAGGCGCCCCCAUAACCCGGCCCGACAUCGCUAUGGAGGGGUUCAAACACGGUACCUCAGCGGCCCAUUAGGUGGGAGGAACUUACACUGGUAACCAGCACACAAGGAGCCACCACAGUGGUGAAACUCCCACACUGCGGCUGCCAGCAUUCGAUCCUGUCUGCUUAGGGACAAUCUACCACCCAGGAACCAACUGAGUUAAGCCCGUGCGGGCAUCCUCUAGCCCUUCUUUGUUUGCAUUGUUUGUUACCCGACAUGUCUGGCGGCCUAGUAGUAUUCUGAAAACUUAUUCUGAUCUCAGAAUAUGUCAAGACACUCAACAAAGACCUUACUAUAGGUUUAUCUUACUAUAUCGAGGUGAAUGACCUUUUACAAGGUGUUCAGGUUGAACAUAUAAAUGAGACACAAUGCAAGAAGAUUUAUUUGAUUGCUAAAGAGCAAACAAAUGAUUUAGAGUAAGCAUAUUUGGUCUUUCUUGUGUAUUGUUAUUGAAUUUAUUAACAAUUGACACUAUACAAGUUUUCCUUCCAUGGAAAGAAAAUACUGUAAAGGUCUUCCUUCAAUUGCAUAAUACUUCCAUCAGGAGAAAAAAAUACUCUAAUUUAUCCUUUCUUGCCAACCUUCAGUUGGCACUGGUCAAACCCCAUUUAUCUUCCAAUAGAGGUAAUUGUUUGUCGACGUGUUAUAGUUAAUUCUCUUAAGGCUUUUUUAAUGUAGUUCUUUUUGACCUAUCAGUAUUGUAAGAUUGUUCUGGGGUAGAGAUACUUCCAUCAUAAAGACAGUUCAAUCAUAAAGGUAAGAACUCAAAAUGAUGAUUGUCAUCUUUAUAUCUUGCUUAAAAUACUUAUUUGCGCAGGUAGCUAAAAAUAGUGCGUAUAACGAAAUUGCCUUUGUGAAGAAAUUUAAUAUUAAUGUUGGGAUAUGAUGGCGUCUAUAUAGGCACGAUUGUUGUCUCCGCCUGUGGUAUGAUGCUAAUAAAUAUUUAUUGUCAUUUUCAUAUUUCAGGGAUUGUAAUAUUCCAUUUUCUUAAAACUUGACAACUACUAUACCACGAAAGCACUAGUAAAAGUAUCCCGAUGGUUCCAAAGGAGGGAGAGUAGAGUGUGCCUAAUUUGGAAUUUAAUCCAAAGCCAAUUGCUCAUAAACUGAAAGCUCAUGGCCCGGUCGAGAUGCACUUGGGCCACAACUGCAGCUGCUGUUGCUCGUGCGGGAACCUGUGUUGCAAAAUAGUUGCAUUUAUAAAGUCAACAACAACUCGGAGAAUUUCAUAUCAACUACUGAAAGAAGAAAGGAUAUAGUUAUAUAAAUGUCAAUAUCCGUUUCUUUAGUGAGAUAACACUGCUAUAUCAUUUUUCCCUUACAUAUAAAUCAUGAAACUGGACUUAUUCA